AUUGAACGCUGGCGGCAUGCCUUACACAUGCAAGUCGAACGGCAGCACGGGAGCAAUCCUGGUGGCGAGUGGCGAACGGGUGAGUAAUAUAUCGGAACGUGCCCAGUCGUGGGGGAUAACGUAGCGAAAGCUACGCUAAUACCGCAUACGAUCUACGGAUGAAAGCGGGGGAUCGCAAGACCUCGCGCGAUUGGAGCGGCCGAUAUCAGAUUAGCUAGUUGGUGGGGUAAAAGCUCACCAAGGCGACGAUCUGUAGCUGGUCUGAGAGGACGACCAGCCACACUGGAACUGAGACACGGUCCAGACUCCUACGGGAGGCAGCAGUGGGGAAUUUUGGACAAUGGGGGCAACCCUGAUCCAGCCAUGCCGCGUGAGUGAAGAAGGCCUUCGGGUUGUAAAGCUCUUUCGGCCGGGAAGAAAUCGUAUGGGUUAAUACCCUGUGCGGAUGACGGUACCGGCAUAAGAAGCACCGGCUAACUACGUG
rnacentral:rRNA from 1 species